AACAAGAGUUAAAAAUUGUGAGAGAAAGUUGAGUAGGUAAGAUCUAUUUAUACGUGAAGACAUUGAAGAAAUGGGAAUGAUUUGGGGAUUGGGUCUUAACGGCUAAGAAUGGGUUUUUCACUUGACCUAGACAUAAUUAAUCUAAUUUAAUAGAUUUGAGUCUGGAUCUAGACCCGAUUCAAAUUACGAGUCUGGGCUAGGCGAGCACUUGGGUUGGGCUAUUUACUUCAUGGUCCACACUAGGUUCCCGGUCAAAAUCACGGGAAUGACAGUGCUUCAAGCCUGUGAGAAUGCGGGUGUUGAUAUCCUAAGGUUUUGCUAUCACAGCCGCCUCUCUGUCACCAAAAACUAUUGCAUGUGCAUUGUUGUGUUCGAAAAAUCGCCCAAGCCGGUCUCCGCUUCAACCAUGUCUGCACCCAGGAGAUACAAAUAUAAAAAGCAAACAAGAGUACAAAAUGGUCAUGGUUGUGCGUCGUAGAAGCCUGAUACCUUGUAGUUUUUACAUGUUAAACAACGUUAUUACGUCACAGCAAACGUCUACAGACCAAUUGCAAAUCCCAUGUAGUUAGGCUGUGCAGGUUGGCAACUAUUGGACCAACUUUUUUGAGGGUUAGUCUUAAAUCUUCCAAAUCGAGGACCACAAGACUGGACAUUAAGAGUCCUAUAGAGACUUAUGCAUUCAUUGGAUGAGUGUCGUAUUUCAUCGGUAGAUAUAAUGUUAGAAUAGGUUACCAGAAAUUCAAUUGAAUUGGUCUUUAUGUAAUCUGUUUUGAUCAUUUCAAUGUGAUUGUAAUAUUGGUUAUGAAUAAAGUAAGUAUUCAUUAUUUGGAUAUUUAUUGUGCCUAUUAAUAUGUUUAUAUGUUCAACACUACAACAAAGCCCAUAGACCAAUUGAAUAACCCAUAUAGUUGGACUGCGUAUUGGAUGGUAGCUAUGAAACCAAUAUCUGAGGGUUGGUUUGAAAUGUUUCAAGUCGAGGACACUGGGCAUCGAGAGUCAUAUAGAGACUGUAUUCAUGAGCUGAAAAGAUAGCUCGAUAUGAGAAACUCAUUAAUUGGAUUUUCUAAUAAAAAAAAGAUCAAAAUAUAACCUGGAAAAGAUUUUUGUUUCCUGAAAGAUCACAAAGUUAUCUGAAAAAGCUAGUUUGAUCUGAGAAAGAUCGAUAAUUGGACCUUUUUUUAUUCAAAAAAUCAUAGUUCGAUCUAAGAGAGUUCGGCAAUCGGAUUUUCUGAUUUGAAAGAUCAUAAAUCUUGAAAGAUUCCUUCGAUCUAUGAAAGAUCAUAAGUUAUCUGAAAAAGAUUCUUCGAUCUGAGAAAGAUUGUUAAUUGGAUUUGUCGAUCUAAAAAAAAUCAAAGGUUCUCGAUUUAUGAAAGAGCAUUAAGUACUUAUGGCUUUCGAUUAGCAAAAGAUAAUUUCAUGAUUUCGUACAUCAAUUACAUAAGAUCGGAAGGCCAUCCAGUCGACAAAAGGGAAACACAAAAGAGAAAGGAUGGCUAUGCUAUUGAAAGUAGAAUUCAAAAUCCUACCGAUUCCUAACCCAUACGCUUAACCUCAUCGAUCAAACAAGCAAAUUCAUCUUUAGCAAGAAGGGGAGCAUCUUCUUUAGGUUAGGGUUCAAGGUUUCCAUAAAAGGAGGGGUCAAGGUGCUCUUGGUGAAACCCUUCAACGAAGUCGUUGAGCUUCACCACUUGCAACCUAUAUUUCUCAAAACUAUCGUUGAGAAAAUCAGCAGCCUUGGUCUCUAUUGUAACUUGGACAGUUGGGGCUUUUAGACAGUCGCGGGUUCCCUGCAAACGGGCUUCAGAGAUGGUCUUUCGAUACUCCAUCGACUGAAGAUACGCCUCGCUACAAGCAAUAAUACCCUCAGCUUUACCUACAGAGAAGCCUUCAUCCUAAGGCAAUCACACUAGUUUUUUCCACUUCAGCAGUACUCUGCUGGAGCCAAAGUUCGAGGUUAGCCAUAUCCUUCAGAAUCUGUUGAAGUUCGCGAACCUUGGCAUCUGCCAUUAGUUUUUCAUAACACCACACCGAACACUUCAGGGAAAAAUUGUCCCCAAAAGCAGCAGCUGGAAAAAUAAAGGAUUAGCAAGACUUAAUGUUACAACCAGAAAUCAUAGUAUGUACGCAUAAGAGCAAAGGCACACCUACAUAAGACCAUGGGCAUGAUGCUCCUCGACUGUCUUGUGAGCAGCUUGGGUUAAUGAGACUUGAUUGCAAUCUAAACAACAAGCCUAGUACAUCUCCUAGGAAUCUUAGCCUACAUGUGACUGAAGACCGAGAUAGAAGAACAAAUGGCCUGAUUGGGAACCAAGUUUUCUCCCACCAUUUCAGCAGCCCUACAACUAGGCGACUUCAAUGCCAUGUGAGCCUCCUUCCAACAUCCCACAUACUCCUUCAAUGCACCCCCAUUCUCUUCCUCUUCGGCACGACUUGCCGCCUCUCUAGCCAAUCUGCUUUCCGAACGCGAUUUACUUCGUGUGUUGGACUUGCUAGAACCCAAGCUUUUACUGCAUUGUUUAUGCUUUCUCUUGCGUUUUCUAGGCUUGCUCGGUUCCCCAGCGACAGCAACAGCAUCUAUCCUUCGACCUCUCGCGAAUUCCUGGUGAACCAGACUUAGCGAUGUAUUCCUUAGUUCGAGCUGCGGUAUGGGUAACUGUUGCUAGCAGUCUCGGCUUCACAAAGAGGUUUGGACUUAACAAGAUCUGUAGGUUCUAUAGAGGCCGUGCUUUCUUUGGGAGUAGAAGAAUCUUCAACCUCAACUUGUGCCAUAACAACAUCGGCAGGAAGUAUCCCUCUUUUAGCCUGAAAUUGAUUAGCAAUUCCAGCCUGCAUCAAUAUACUUCCUGAAGAAAAAUGUUAAUAUUAGAACUCAUGAAAAUAGAGGAAAAAGGAACCAAAUAUAUUAUGUUGAUGAUGAAAAGCGAAUCACCUAAUGGAUCGCUAACUGGGAGGGAUCUUGGAGAGAGUCGGACAAACUUGAAGACAUUCUCUACGAGAAACUGCACAGCUAACAGUAAAAGCACAAAUAGCUUGUCAAGUCCAACAAGAAGAUCUUGACACGGUUCGGGCCGCAAUCAGGAGUACCAUGCUAACUUCUAGCUCGUUAUGGCAUAGCCUUAUGGAACCAAUUCGAAAGGCAUUGCCAUUAGUGAUGACUCGCGAGUUUAGAGAGUAGGAUUCUACACCUGUGCUCAGAGUAUAGGCUCUACACCUGUAGCGGCAGAUUCAAGUACAACUUGAACGAGAUCAUCGUCAAACUCUACUGAAAAGGCAACAAUUGAGUCACAAGAAGUGUAAGCUCCUGAUGUUUCAAGUUAACCCCUGCUCCUCUGGGGUUAAAAAAUGAGAGGUUAGCCUUAGGACAAUGACCAACACUUCUAAGGUUAAUACUAACGAUUUGAUAUUUUCAUCUUCUACUUGGCAGGUCUAUCAGCAGAUGUGGGAAAAAUUAGUUUCCCACAAAGGAGUAAAUCUAGGCAAGACUAUAAUCGAAUCAUCCAAAAAAUAUAACCAAGCCUGGAUGCUUGAGGGAUAUAAACUCAAAGAUGUCAAAAAAUGGUAUGAUUUAAGAGCCCUGGCUUCGGUUCAUACUGUGUCAUUGAGUUUUUCAGAAAUCUAAAAGCUUUUGUAAUGGAUUAGUGGGCUAGUAUACAACACAUGACAAAACAAACCCCACAUAAAACAAGGAGAUAUCCUAGAGCUAAAAUUCAUCUCAACUGCUCCAGAAAUCUCAGGAAAAGGGUCUCACCCAAUUUUACUUUAUGGAGCUGCAAAGAUUAGACAUGGUAGCUUUCAACAAAAUCAAAGCUGUCACAAGAGAAGCUCCCCUGGUAUCAUCUAUUAGCAAGGAUGACAUCUCUACUAGAAGGGCUUAAGCAUUAUGGAUCUUUCUCACGGAGAUGGACAAAGGUACUUCCAUUUAAAAUAUUUUCAAACAAAUCAAAUGGAUCGUUCAUGUUAAACUCCAUGACAGGAAAGAGUACUGAGUUUCCAGAAAGCUUGUUCGAGAAGAAAAGAAUGCUUAUAUUGGAGAAUAAGCUACCUGCAACGGAGACUAAGAGGAUGAAGACAUGCAAUAUUUUGCAUGUGGGGCAAUGGCAUAACCAUGUAUGCCCUUGCGCGAAAACAAUAAAAGUCCUUGUUUGAAACCAAGAUUCGGGUAACCCAAAAGACAUCCUAACCAAAACCCGACAAGUGUAAAAAGUAGGAUUUUUUACAAGAAGAGGUAAAAUCCUCAAAAUGUAAAAAAUCAAAAGUUGAACUGUCGACAAAAAAAAAAAAUAAGCCAAUAGUCAGGAAGAAGUGAUAACCAACUAGCAAGCACAUGGUUGACAAGUUAUCAUGACCAACAUCAUCCGAAACAAGUUUGAAGUCUGGGAUUGAAGUCCGUCGCUAUUAUACAUAAGAAGGAUAGGAAUCAGAUGGGGGACAUCAUAAAACUUCUCCAACUCUUCAUUUCAAUGAUAUUUUGAGUCUUCUCAGAGUUUUGUGUUUUAAAUUUUCUAGCGUAUGGGGAUUUCCCCAUAGAGUCAAGUCCUCUUUUUCAUGAAGGGCUAAAUAGUUGUCUCCACAUAUAGAGGAACAAAUAUCUAUGUAAUAUUUUACAUAUUUCUUCAAUAAAGUAAAUGCUUCUGUUCAACUUGUCCACCCAAAAUUUUAUUAAGUCUAUGUUCUGGAGUUUUUCUAUGCUUUAAGGUAGGAAACAAAAUAGGGUUAUGGUAAUUGUUGUUGAAUGAGCCAAGUGCCUAUGAAUCAUCUACUGUGAUAGUGUAGUUGGUGGAAAUCCGUAAAGCAGAGGAUUUGAAUACCUGGGAGCAAUACAGUCAAAUAAAAGAUGAAUUUAUGGUGGUUUAAUUUAAUUUCGAAAGUAUGUUAGACCUAAUUUUGAGCAUAUGAGAUUGUUUAUCAAGAAAAGCAAAAUAAUCUGAUUACAAGACUAAUAGUGUUAAAAUUCUGGAAACUUUAGGACUAUAAAUGUCAACCAAGUAAAGUAGGGGACUAAUAAUGAGAAUGGUCUUAUCUAAUAGGAUAAAAGAAGCAAUUAAACCUUUAAAUUAUUUUAAAUUAUCUUUGAAAUAAAUUCAAUGCAUGUUUUAUUUCCACAACAUAUUUUAUUUAUCUUUAUUUUUCUCUAUCUAUCCGCACAAAAAUAUAACAAAACACACAAAAAGCAAAAAAAAAAAAAAAAUGAAUCCACCCACGAUGAUGCAAUUUUGCCGCUCAAGAAUUAGCAAAAUGCAUAUGGACCUUAAAACAAAAUUCUUGUGAUCUUGUCCCUCGAACC